rnacentral:rRNA from 1 species
UACGUAGGGGGCAAGCGUUGUCCGGAAUCAUUGGGCGUAAAGGGCGCGUAGGCGGCCUUCUAAGUCGAACGUGAAAUCCCCGGGCUCAACCCGGGAACUGCGUCCGAGACUGGAAGGCUUGAAUCCGGGAGAGGGAUGUGGAAUUCCAGGUGUAGCGGUGAAAUGCGUAGAUAUCUGGAGGAACAUCGGUGGCGAAGGCGGCAUCCUGGACCGGUAUUGACGCUGAGGCGCGAAAGCCAGGGGAGCAAACGGG